UUCACCUGCAGUAAUGGUUUCGCUCCAGAAAGCGCACCAGCAGGUGGGGAGAGCGGGCCAUUGCUAAGAGGAGGACAGGUAGGGAACUGACUUUUUUUUUUUCCUCAUGGGUGGAAACACUGCAGCUUUAAAUCUUACUGCAUCGAGCUCUGGAUUCCUUCCAUAACUGAGCUGCAAAAUGGUAACAAGAAAGGAGGAGAAAAAAAGGAAAAAGAAAAAACAUAUACAUAUAUAUCUUCAUCCUAACCGACCCUUAAGGCGGCUCCCUGACAGGACAGACCGCGGCCAGCCCAUCCCCCGCGCCCUCUCGGCCCAGAGGUGCAGCCAGCACAGAUACAUUGCUUCAACUGUGAGGUGUGCGCCUGCUACCGAGGAGGGAGAACGCUAGACAAAUUCACUUUUCCUCUACGUCAGAGUGAAAAUGAGAGACCCUAAGAGAAAUCCCCCACCGCCCUGGGGGUUCUGUGUCCUAAUCAUCAGCAUAGCAAAGGCCACCAGCUGCAGAAGUUCUCGGUGGAAAAGGCAUGAUUGGGAACUUCGCAGAAAACAAGUGCAAUGUCUUAUUAAACCUCUAAGACCGGUGGAAGAAUUCUAAAUUUCAGGAAUUAGCAGGCACGCUUUUCUCUGUAGUCUGUGUACAUUCUCACAAUAGAUGUUCGAGUUAUUUUCUAUCUAGGCACUUUCCAGAUCUCUCCUGGUAUGAUGGGAAUUGUAUAAUAAACUGGACAACUCAGAAAUAAAAAACAGAUGAACAUAAAUAAUAUAAAGUAUAUAAACAUGAAAGAUAAUCACAUGACUAGUCUAGCUGCUCUCCUUCCAUCCAGCCUCUAUCCCUUCUAGUUUAUUCUGCCUCUUGCCUACAGAAAAAUUUUUAAAAAGUCCUAAAGCACUGUUUAUACCAUACCUUCAUACAGUAAAGCCUACAGUGAAAUCCUACUAGUUUAAUAUCAUUAAUAAAAUAUCAUUAUUCCAG